rnacentral:miRNA from 1 species
AUUAGGUUGGUGCAAAAGUAAUCACAGUUUUUCAAUUACUUUUAGUGGCAGAAACCGCAAUUACUUUUGCACCAACCUA